rnacentral:rRNA from 1 species
AUAUCAAUAAGCGGAGGAAAAGAAACCAACAGGGAUUGCCCCAGUAACGGCGAGUGAAGCGGCAACAGCUCAAAUUUGAAAUCUGGCCUCGGCCCGAGUUGUAAUUUGCAGAGGAAGCUUCUGGUGCGGCGCCGUCCGAGUCUCCUGGAACGGAGCGCCAUAGAGGGUGAGAGCCCCGUAUGGACGGACGCCAAACCUGUGUGAAGCUCCUUCGACGAGUCGAGUAGUUUGGGAAUGCUGCUCAAAAUGGGAGGUAAAUUCCUUCUAAAGCUAAAUACCGGCCAGAGACCGAUAGCGCACAAGUAGAGUGAUCGAAAGAUGAAAAGCACUUUGAAAAGAGGGUUAAACAGCACGUGAAAUUGUUGAAAGGGAAGCGCUUGUGACCAGACUCGGGCGCGGCGGAUCAUCCGGUGUUCUCACCGGUGCACUCCGCCGCGCCCGGGCCAGCAUCGGCUUCCGCCGGGGGACAAAGGUCCCGGGAACGUAGCUCCUCCGGGAGUGUUAUAGCCCGGGGCGCAAUGCCCCGGCGGGGGCCGAGGA